rnacentral:rRNA from 1 species
CGUUUUAGUGGCGGACGGGUGAGUAACGCGUGGGUAACCUGCCUCACACUGGGGGAUAACACUUAGAAAUAGGUGCUAAUACCGCAUAAGCGCACGGGACUGCAUGGUCUUGUGUGAAAAACCCCGGUGGUGUGAGAUGGACCCGCGUCUGAUUAGCUGGUUGGCGGGGUAACGGCCCACCAAGGCGACGAUCAGUAGCCGGCCUGAGAGGGUGGACGGCCACAUUGGGACUGAGACACGGCCCAAACUCCUACGGAAGGCAGCAG